rnacentral:tmRNA from 1 species
GGGGUUGUACUGGUUUCGACGGGGAUUUUGAAACUCGAGCAGCUAUCCGUGGACUAGGACCACGUUAAAACUUAGAAUUAAAUAUAAACGCUGAAGAUAAUUUAGCUUACGCUGCCUAAUAGCGGCAGCUGUCAACAAUAGGCUUCCUACAUCCUGUUGUUGGCAUCGACUUAGUAGGGAACCUUAUUUGCAAAGCUUUGAGCAGAUAAGAGAUUUAUGAAGCUACCAAGGUUUUUUGGAUGUCGAUUUCCGAAAAACUGAGGGAAGAUUUAAUAAUCGACUGUGAUAGGAGAUACUCGCGUGAAUAGGUUUUCGGACGCGGGUUCGAUUCCCGCCAGCUCCAUUC